rnacentral:rRNA from 1 species
AACGAACGCUGGCGGCAUGCCUAACACAUGCAAGUCGAACGAAGCCUUCGGGCUUAGUGGCGCACGGGUGCGUAACGCGUGGGAAUCUGCCCUUGGGUUCGGAAUAACAGUUAGAAAUGACUGCUAAUACCGGAUGGUGUCUUCGGACCAAAGAUUUAUCGCCCAAGGAUGAGCCCGCGUGGGAUUCGGUAGUGGGUGGGGUAAUGGCCCACCAAGCCGACGAUCCUUAGCUGGUCUGAAAGGAUGAUCAGCCACACUGGGACUGAGACACGGCCCAGACUCCUACGGGAGGCAGCAGUGGGGAAUAUUGGACAAUGGGAGAAAGCCUGAUCCAGCAAUGCCGCGUGAGUGAUGAAGGCCUUAGGGUUGUAAAGCUUUUUUACCAGGGAUGAUAAUGACAGUACCUGGAGAAUAAGCUCCGGCUAACUCCGUGCCAGCAGCCGCCGUAA